UACGGGGGGGGCAAGCGUUGUUCGGAAUUACUGGGCGUAAAGGGCGCGUAGGCGGCCAACUAAGUCAGACGUGAAAUCCCUCGGCUCAACCGGGGAACUGCGUCUGAUACUGGAUGGCUUGAAUUCGGGAGAGGGAUGCGGAAUUCCAGGUGUAGCGGUGAAAUGCGUAGAUAUCAGGAGGAACACCGGUGGUGUAGACGGCUUUCUGGACCGUAACUGACGCUGAGACACGAAAGCGUGGGUAGCAAACAGG
rnacentral:rRNA from 1 species